GAUGAACGCUAGCGGCAGGCCUAACACAUGCAAGUCGAGGGGGAAGUUACUUUCGGGUGACUGAGACCGGCGUACGGGUGCGUAACGCGUAUACAAUCUGCCUUUCACUGGGGGAUAGCCCGAAGAAAUUUGGAUUAAUACCCCAUAGUAUAUAGGGACGGCAUCGUUUUUAUAUUAAAGCUUAGGUGGUGAAAGAUGAGUAUGCGUUCUAUUAGCUAGUUGGAGAGGUAACGGCUCCCCAAGGCGAUGAUAGAUAGGGGUUCUGAGAGGGAUGUCCCCCACACUGGUACUGAGAUACCGACCAGACUCCUACGGGAGGCAGCAGUGAGGAAUAUUGGACAAUGGUCGGAAGACUGAUCCAGCCAUGCCGCGUGCAGGAUGAAGGUCUUAUGGAUUGUAAACUGCUUUUGUAAGGGAAGAAUAAGGGCUACGCGUAGUUUGAUGACGGUACCUUACGAAUAAGCAUCGGCUAACUCCGUG
rnacentral:rRNA from 1 species